rnacentral:rRNA from 1 species
UACGGAAGGUCCGGGCGUUAUCCGGAUUUAUUGGGUUUAAAGGGAGCGCAGGCCGGAUGUUAAGCGUGACGUGAAAUGCCGCGGCUCAACCGUGGAAGUGCGUCGCGAACUGGCGUCCUUGAGUGGGUUCGACGCCGGCGGAAUUCGUGGUGUAGCGGUGAAAUGCUUAGAUAUCACGAAGAACCCCGAUUGCGAAGGCAGCGUACCAGUCCUUUACUGACGCUAAAGCUCGAAGGUGCGGGUAUCGAAC